rnacentral:lncRNA from 10 species
CUUUCAGAAAAGUCAUAUUGUUCUCAAAUGACCUAGCUUUUACCUUCGUUAACUCAAACCUGCACCCAUCUGAAGUGAAACCAGCAACCAUUUAACAGCAAACAGUAGCAGCAGCAUGCACCAAAAGAGAAUGGAAAGUGAAAAGAACACAACAGAUCAUUUUAAAAGUAGUGUGUCAAUUGCCUGGUUCUCCACUGACAGCUAAAAUUAAACAAAAAAGUGAAUUCCGUUCUACAGUGUGACCAUCUUAUGGGAACACUAGAGGAUAUCCAUAGACAGCAGAGAAAAAAUAGCAAAAUAGAUAUUUUGACUCACAGAAAAUGAAUGUUUGCAAAGAUUCACCAAGAAAUAAAGUCAACCAAAAAAGCAAAGUCAUGGAAAAGAAAUGCAAAUCUCCACAAAAGGCAGCUUUUCAGGGCUAUUCCUGUCUACACGCCCUCUGAAUAACCAUCUCAAAAUAUGUUCAAGAAGUAUAUUUUGGAGGUGGCAUUGCAGAUGGGAUCUCAAAGCCAAGUCUCUACAUAUGAUACAGGCAAACAGAUGUUUUGAAUAAGUCUCAUGAGAUCUGAUGGUUUCAAAAGAUCACAAGCUCUCUCUUUGCCUGUUGCCAUCCAUGUAAGACAUGACUUGCUCCUCCUUGCCUUCUGCCAUGAUUGUGAGGCCUCUCCAGCCACAUGGAAUUUUUUUCAUCCAGUGACUACCAAAUGGAGGAAUUAUCGUCUUGAAGGGGAACGUAUCAAUCACUUAAGGAAACUAGAUGGGAGACUGAAGGUGGCAAAAGGAGAGGCAUAGCAAAUGGAAGAAGGUGUCCUAGAGUCACUCUUAAACUUUGAGAAGUUUGAGAUAUUAGGUUGGUGCAAGAGUAAUUGCAGG